rnacentral:rRNA from 1 species
GAGUUUGAUCCUGGCUCAGGAUGAACGCUGGCGGCGUGCUUAACACAUGCAAGUCGAACGGUGAAGCUCCAGCUUGCUGGAGUGGAUCAGUGGCGAACGGGUGAGUAACACGUGAGCAACCUGCCCCGAACUCUGGGAUAAGCGCUGGAAACGGCGUCUAAUACCGGAUACGCACCAGAGCGGCAUCGUUACUGGUGGGAAAGAGUUUUUUGGUUCGGGAUGGGCUCGCGGCCUAUCAGCUUGUUGGUGAGGUAACGGCUCACCAAGGCGUCGACGGGUAGCCGGCCUGAGAGGGUGACCGGCCACACUGGGACUGAGACACGGCCCAGACUCCUACGGGAGGCAGCAGUGGGGAAUAUUGCACAAUGGGCGCAAGCCUGAUGCAGCAACGCCGCGUGAGGGAUGACGGCCUUCGGGUUGUAAACCUCUUUUAGCAGGGAAGAAGCGAGAGUGACGGUACCUGCAGAAAAAGCGCCGGCUAACUACGUG